CAUUUAAACUCCCUUAACUCGGUCCUCUCUCUGAAAAAAACACAAAAACCCAACAGUCGAAAACCCAAGUAAGUUUGUUAUCCUCUCUUGUUAUGUUUCAUGUCUUUAGUUCUUGCCUUUUUGAUGUCACAAUCUUUGUCUAUGCAAAGGGGGUUUUGUCAGUUUAGAUUGUCUCUUUGAAUUUAGGAAGAUAGAAGGGAAAAGUUCAUAUUUUUGUGAGUUUGGGUAUAGAAAGAUUUAAGCUUUGGUGGUAAUUGAUUAUUGAGGUUUGUUGAAAUGGGCUCUAAUUUGGAGCCAAUUCCGAUAACAUCGCAAAAACAUGACCCGGCGUGGAAGCAUUGUCAAAUGUUUAAGAACGGAGAGAGGGUUCAGUUAAAAUGUGUGUAUUGUGGCAAGAUUUUUAAAGGAGGAGGGAUUCAUAGGAUUAAGGAACAUUUAGCUGGUCAAAAGGGUAAUGCUGCUACUUGUUUACAAGUCCCUUCGGAAGUCAGGCUUAUGAUGCAACAAAGUUUAGAUGGGGUUGUAGUUAAGAAGCGGAAGAAGCAAAAAAUUGCAGAGGAGAUAACGAAUUUGAAUCCAGUUUCUAGUGAGAUAGAGGUUUUUGAUAAGGAUGUUAAUACUGGAAUGGAGUUAACUGGGGUUUCGGAUGCUAUUGACCCUGUUUCAAGUUUGUUAGUUAGUGGAGAAGAUGGAAUGGGAAAAAAAGGCGGGGAGAGGAGGAAGAGGGGAAGGGGUAGAGGCAGAGGUUCUGUUACAAAUGCUAAAGCUGUUGUUACCAUGGGUAGUGGUAUGCCGUUAUCAGGGGGUAAAAGGAAAAACGAUCACAUUCAUAUGGCAAUAGGGAGGUUUUUGUAUGAUAUCGGGGCAUCUUUGGAUGCUGUGAACUCGGCUUAUUUUCAGCUAAUGGUUCAAGCAAUUGCUUCAGGAGGAUCAGAGGUUGUAGUGCCUUCAUACCACGAUCUUCGAGGUUGGGUACUGAAGAAUUCAGUUGAAGAAGUAAAGAAUGAUGUUGAUAAGCACAUAGCAACUUGGGAAAGGACUGGUUGUUCUGUUUUGGUUGAUCAGUGGAACACAGUAAUGGGUAGAACUCUGAUAAAUUUUUUGGUUUAUUGUCCUGAAGGAGUGGUGUUUUUGAAAUCCGUGGAUGCAUCUGAUAUUAUUAAUUUACCAGAUGCUCUUUAUGAAUUGCUUAAGCAAGUAGUUGAAGAAAUUGGAGCAAGACAUGUUUUACAAGUCAUUACUCGAAUGGAAGAGCAAUUAAUCUGUGCAGGGAGAAGGUUAGGUGAUACUUUCCCUAACCUUUAUUGGGCUCCUUGUGCAGCACAUUGUCUAGAUUUGAUACUUGAGGAUUUUGCAAAACUUGAGUGGAUAAAUUCAGUAAUUGAACAGGCUAGGUCUAUUACAAGAUUUGUAUACAAUCAUAGUGUGGUUUUGAAUAUGAUGAAAAGGUAUACUUUUGGAAAUGAUAUUGUAGAACCAGGAAUUAGUCGCUUUGCCACAAACUUUGGAACAUUGAAACGAAUGGUUGAUCUUAAACAUAACCUGCAGACCAUGGUUACUUCACAGGAGUGGGUGGACUGCCCAUAUUCAAAGAAACCUGGGGGGCUGGAAAUGUUAGAUUUGGUAAGCGAUCAGUCAUUUUGGUCAUCAUGCGUCCUAAUAACCCAUUUAACUAAUCCUCUCUUGCAAGUUUUGAGACUAGUUGGCAGCAAGAAGAGGCCUGCUAUGGGAUAUAUUUAUGCAGGAAUGUAUCGAGCUAAAGAAGCAAUUAAGAAAGAACUUAUAAAGAGGGACGAGUAUACUGUCUACUGGAAUAUUAUAGACCAUUGGUGGGAACAACAAUGGAAUCUCCCUCUUCAUGCUGCAGGUUUCUACCUUAAUCCCAAGUUCUUUUAUAGUUUUGAAGGAGAUAUGCCCAAUGAGAUUCAGUCUGGGAUGUACGAUUGCAUAGAAAAGUUUGUUCCUGACUUAAAUGUGCAAGAUAAAAUCAUCAAAGAAGUAAACUCUUACAAGAAUGCUGGUGGUGAUUUUGGGAGGAAGAUGGCUAUUAGAGCUAGGGACACUAUGCUUCCUGCUGAAUGGUGGUCAACAUAUGGAGGAAGUUGCCCAAACUUGGUGCGUUUGGCCUUCCGUAUUCUCGGUCAAACCUGCAGUUCAAUUGAGUAUAAGCGAAGCCAGAUUCCUUUUGAACAAUUGCAUGAUACAAAAAAUUGCCUGGAGCGUCAACGACUCAGUGAUCUAGUUUUUGUUCAGUGCAACUUGCGACUCAGACAAAUGGUCAAUGAGAAUGAGGAACAGGAUCCUAUAUCAUUUGAUAGCAAUAAUACAUUGAAGGACUGGGUCAAGGGAAAAGACUUGUGCUCGGAAGACUUUGAUACAUUGAAUUGGAUGGCAGUUGAUCCACCUUCUGACAAUGCAAGGCUCCUGGGAACUUCACACAGUGAAAUUGAAGACUUAGGCGCAGGGUUCGAUGAUUAUGAGAUUUUUAAUAGAGUAAAAGAGGGCGAGGAGGAAAAUGUUGAAUCAAUGUAGCUGGUCAACAGAAAAGCAUCCAAGGUACACUGGUCUCACCUGGAGUAUUUAGGACAAUCACCGAGUUGCCUAUACUAGAGAGAUAUUGUGAUCAUCUAACUUGACUCUGUGAUUGAAGUUGACACAAUUACCAAUGGAUCAGGACUUCCAUGUGUGUAAAACUAAUCACCAGGAAGACUGGUCAUGACCAGGGUGAAAGCGAGAAAAAGAUACGAUUGGCUAUGGUUCUAUUAGUAAAUGCAGCUGGGUAGUUUUUAUGUCAGAGAAAAACGCAUUUCAGUAGAUAGAUGGAUGGAUGUGGUUUUAUACAUAAGCAUGCUCUUGUACAUUUAAUCUCUUCAAAUAACUUUCAAGUCUUUCUAGUGCUAAUUUUUACUCUGCCAAGUAAAGUCACUAGCCAUUGUAACCAAUUGACCAGGGAUCAAAUCCUACUUACACAGUUACACUUGGGAUUGAACAGGAAAAGGGAGGUUGCCUCCUUUUAUGGAACCAAAGGUUCAAUUAGUCUUCUGAUGAACAAAUAAACAAAAAAAAUUUCUUCUGCAAAGUUGUAACCUUCGCACUAUCAUUUACAAAUCCAUUACAACUAAUAUUUGCAACCAUUGGAACAUAAAAGAGGCCAGCUGAAACAGAGAAUCCCUAAACUAUUGAAGAACUGGAGAGGGAUUGAGGCGGAACUUCCAAGAUUAAGUUGAAGUAACUUCAACAGUCAAACUUCAACGCAGGGAAAAGACUCCACUAGAAUUGCUCCUUUUCUUCCUCUCUCUUUUUCGCUACACUUUGUUCAACCUAUUUGCUGUCAAACUUCAACAUUUGACCUUGCUCCAGGAGAACUUGAAUAGGAGCUCGCAAGACCAAAUCAAUGCAUCGGCUUCAACUUUCUUGGGUAAAUAAGCUGUGUGUCUAUGUCGCCAGCAUCUUUGACCGGUAAAAAAGCUUCAACAAUGCCUCAUUUACUUGCGAAUUGCACAGAGUAACAGAAACAAGACGAACUUUUAAUCAACAGCUAUUGAAGGUGACUUCUAUCCAUUCCUUGUUUAUUUGUCUUUCUAGUUUUGUAUCGGUUGCUAUUACAGUGUUUUUAGGGUAACUUUGGCUUAGCGAUUUGCUUUUGUGGUUGCAAUGUGAUUAAUUUAUACAUCUGAGAUAGUGCAUUAACGCAUACACUGUGUCCCGUAUUGUAGAAAAAGGGUGAAUCCUAAGCUUAUCUACCCUCUACAAUUUCUCGUGUGUUUGUGCUGUAGAACUCAUGUGAAGUCAAAGAACAAUGUCGUGUUAAACUCGAUUCAUCUGUAUGGAAGCAACAUGCUGCGUGCCAUUCACUAUCUUGCAAAA